rnacentral:misc_RNA from 1 species
UUAUCUGCCGAAGGUCAACGAGAUGACCGAUUUCAACAUGUGGACCUGGAACAGCCGCGUGUUUCCUGGGAUCGAUCCGUUGCCGGUCCGUCUCGGCGACAAGGUUCGUGUCCGCAUCGGCAAUCUCACCAUGACCAACCAUCCCAUCCAUCUCCACGGACACCACUUUGCCGUCAGCUGCACCGACGGCGGCUGGGUUCCUGAAAGCGCGCAAUGGCCGGAGACGACGACCGACGUACCGGUCGGCGCGGUUCGUGCGUUCGACGUAGUCGCCGACAAUCCUGGCGACUGGGCGUUUCACUGCCACAAGUC